ACCGCAACAGCUGCAACAACACUCCGACGCAGCACAAAGCGAACGAACAAUUCCGAGAAAAAGGCAAAGCGCCGCCCGGCGAAAGCGGCGUCGGCGGCGAUGUUGCGGCAGAUGCGAUGGCUGACGGACAGGGAAGGGAGGUGGGAGCUUGACGUGGAGUCCCCGGCGACGAUGGAGGGCACGGCGCGCCCGGUCCCGGGCGACCCGCUGCCCCUCGGCCUCUCGCGGGGGCCCCGCGUCACCCGCACCAAGCAGCUCGACUUCUUCCACCGCUUCAUGGCCUCCCCGCUCGUCCCCUCCUUCUCCGCCUCCCGCGCCGGCCUCUCCCUCCAUCACGCGCACCUCCUCCAUCUCGCCCACAACUGGUCGUUUACUAUCUUGGAGCAGCUUCAUGUACAGAAGCUUGUGACAGUCGUGAAAGAGAAGUUGUCAAAUCGGCAAGAAGGGGUCCCCUGGUCCAAUGAUCUCAAGAGGCAUUUGCAUGAUGUCAUUUCUCUAGGUGCUGGCACGGAACUCUUGAUCACACCAGACACGGCAUUGCUGCUGGAGUUGUACAAUAUCAACAAGGGGGACCGAGGCAAAGCGAUUAUUCACCACAAGCUUCCUCAACAAAACCUUACAUUAGCAGCGUCCUGGCCUGGGUUAUUUGUUGAUAAACAGGGGGUGUACUGGGAUGUGCCUUUAUCAUUGUCAGCUGAUCUUGCUUCAGUCGGCUCCAGUUCUGGAUUGAGUUAUCAUCUAUUGUUACAACAGAAUAGUGGGGAGCCAAAAUGUUUUGGUGGUGAUGAAACCAAUGAUGUUCCUCUCGCUCUGCUACCUGGUUUGUGUGCUAAGGCAGCUAUUUCCAUCAAGAGAAGUAUUGAUGCUUGGAGGAAGAAAGAAGACAAGCUAAAAAUGGUUCAGCCUUAUGAUGCAUUUCUCUCAGACCCUCAUGUUUCAUUCACUGGAAUUGUUGGUGCAGUAGCCAGUGGUUCUUUGGGGGAUUGUUCAAAAAGAAUUUCAGUGCCAGACGAAACGCGAAAAAGCAAUGCCUUCAGAGUGUUCCACGAGAGGAAUAAGUUUGCUGCAUGUGCAGAUCUCUUUGCUUCUGUUACUUUUACAGCUCAACAUGGAAAUUUCCAGAGGCUUUUCCUGGAUUUGACAAGGGUCAGUGCCCGAUUAGAUAUAUCCUCAGGAUCUUUGUUCUUACGUGGUGCUUCUCGUCUAGCGCAAGAUUUUUUCUUCUCUAGACGGCCUGAUUUAGAGACAUUCUGUGAUGUUUGUCCAGAUGUGAUUGUUUCUCUUCAACAACAGUUCAGCCAAUAACCCUAAGGUGGAAGAGUUUUUGCCUGACAUGCAUUGCUAUUUGAUUAAUCAAGAUAGUUGGGCCAUUCAGCUUUCGUGUUGAAUCUUCUGUUGCCAUUGACCCAAGAAGUCAAGACCAUUUUGUCCGAGUGGACGACUCGGUCUUCGCCAUUGAUUGGGCUCUGAAGGUCCUGGGUUCAGCAAAGGCCACAGCUUGGUAUUCGCCCAAGCAUCAGGAAGCAAUGGUGGAGCUUCGUUUCUUUGAGGUCUGAUGAAGCACAUAAAGGUUCCAUCUCACGUCGAAGGUCACAAGCACAUAAGGUUCCAUCUCAUGUCGAAGGUCACGUUGAAGGUCACAAGCAUAAUUGUAUGAAUGGUCGAUGCUGGGUUUUAUCAAGCCUAUGCAUACAACACCAUUGGAUUUAUUUGGGUUAUACUACUUUGACAUGUUGGAUCAUCGGUCCUGCCAUGCUGCUCUUCGGGUAAAAUAGUUUCUGCUAUAGAGUAAUCCACGGAGGAAAUGGUUAUUUCAGUUCUAGGACAGUUGUUAUGUAUUCACAUUGUCCGUCAAUUGAAAAUACAUUCUAAUUGUAUUUCGUACUUUCACUAGCCACACUUGCUCUUUGUUCAUCAAUCCUUUAUUAUAUGGUUUGAGAGUUUCACCUUA